AGGGAGUUAUUUUAAUAAAAAUAUAAGUUUGUCGGAUUUAAGAUACUUUUAGUACUUUCUG
rnacentral:tRNA from 1 species